AGUUUUCCUGGCCUGGCUAGUCCCCAACCUAAAUCUUAUUAUUAGACUAUCCAUCAUGAUCUGAGAUCUCCAAGAAAAAAUAUUUCUAUCAGCUCUUACAUGUUGACAGUUACCUCCCAGGAGUCUAGGACAAAGGCAAGACCUCUUUUUGGUCAAGGUUAUUAUUAUUAUUAUUUACUAUAUAACAUGCCAUCAUUCUGUUAUUUUUUUUCUGUUUUAUCUUCAAAAUAACCCUAAUUGGUGGGAAAGGAUGUUUAUGAUUAUAAACAAGAUCUCAAAAGAAAGACACUUGGGUAAGGUUGCAGAGUUGAUCCUUGACUCAUGGUACAAUACUCUUUCCCCUCUCUGAGAGCCCUGAGUCCUGAGAAGAAGAUGGAAACAAGAUGUGUAUAUGUGUGUGCACUCACCUGUGUGGUGGUGUG